CCCGUGGUAGCUCAGUGGCAGAGCGUCUGGCUGUAGAUGAACAUAUUUUUGUGUUUAUCACCAGUGGAUGUUCGACGGUAACCGGAAGGUUGGGAGUUCAAAUCUCCCCCGCGGGA
rnacentral:tRNA from 1 species